GAAAAAUCUCUCCCCCGCCACCAGCCCGGCCGCCCCGUGGUGAGGUCAGAGCCCUGUUUUUGGGACCCAGCUGGCGGUUGCCAUGGAAGUGCUUGUGCUUUCACAAAGUCGGCAUGGCAAGGACUUCGCAAGCAAGGUCGCGGAGGAGCAGAUGGGCUUCGGAGGAGG
rfam:Tinamus guttatus contig19283, whole genome shotgun sequence.